rnacentral:rRNA from 1 species
UUAAACUGGAGAGUUUGAUUCUGGCUCAGAACGAACGCUGGCGGCGUGCUUAACACAUGCAAGUCGUACGAGAAAGCCUCUUCGGAGGUUAGUAAAGUGGCGCACGGGUGAGUAACACGUGGGUAAUCUGCCCUUAGGUUUGGGAUAACCCCGGGAAACCGGAGCUAAUACCGAAUAAGACCACGAUGACUUCGGUCGAUGUGGGAAAAGAUGGCCUCUUCUUGAAAGCUAUCGCCAAUGGAUGAGCCUGCGGUUGAUUAGCUUGUUGGUGAGGUAACGGCUCACCAAGGCGACGAUCAAUAGCUGAUCUGAGAGGAUGAUCAGUCACACUGGAACUGAGACACGGUCCAGACUCCUACGGGAGGCAGCAGUCGGGAAUAUUGGGCAAUGGGCGAAAGCCUGACCCAGCAACGCCGCGUGAAGGAUGAAGGCCCUAGGGUCGUAAACUUCUGUCGAGAGGGAAGAAUGCGUGCGGGUAAAUAAUCCGUACGUUUGACGGUACCUCCAAAGGAAGCACCGGCUAACUCCGUGCCAGCAGCCGCGGU